rnacentral:rRNA from 1 species
UUGGAAGGGCCGCCUGCUUUACCAUGCAGUCGAACGGCAGCGCGGGGGCAACCCUGGCGGCGAGUGGCGAACGGGUGAGUAAUGUAUCGGAACGUAUCCUGUAAUGGGGGAUAACCAGUCGAAAGAUUGGGUAAUACCGCAUACGCACGAGAGUGGAAAGUGGAGGAUCGCAAGACUUCACGUUAUAGGAGCGGCCGAUAUCUGAUUAGCUAGUUGGUGGGGUAAAGGCCUACCAAGGCGACGAUCAGUAGCAGGUCUGAGAGGAUGAUCUGCCACACUGGGACUGAGACACGGCCCAGACUCCUACGGGAGGCAGCAGUGGGGAAUUUUGGACAAUGGGCGAAAGCCUGAUCCAGCCAUGCCGCGUGCAGGAAGAAGGCCUUCGGGUUGUAAACUGCUUUAGUCCGGGAAAAAGGGGUGCGGGAUUAAUACUCUCGUGCUUUGAUGGUACUGGAAGAAUAAGCACCGGCUAACUACGUGCCAGCAGCCGCGGUAAUACGUAGGGUGCGAGCGUUAAUCGGAAUUACUGGGCGUAAAGCGUGCGCAGGCGGUCUUGUAAGACAGUCGUGAAAUCCCUGGGCUUAACCUAGGAACUGCGAUUGUGACUGCAAGGCUAGAGUGUGUCAGAGGGGGGUGGAAUUCCACGUGUAGCAGUGAAAUGCGUAGAGAUGUGGAGGAACACCGAUGGCGAAGGCAGCCCCCUGGGAUAACACUGACGCUCAUGCACGAAAGCGUGGGGAGCAAACAGGAUUAGAUACCCUGGUAGUCCACGCCCUAAACGAUGUCGACUGGUUGUUGGGUGGGUAACCGCUUAGUAACGAAGCUAACGCGUGAAGUCGACCGCCUGGGGAGUACGGUCGCAAGAUUAAAACUCAAAGGAGUUGACGGGGACCCGCACAAGCGGUGGAUGAUGUGGUUUAAUUCGAUGCAACGCGAAAAACCUUACCUACACUUGACAUGUCAGA